UACGUAGGGGGCGAGCGUUAUCCGGAAUCAUUGGGCGUAAAGGGUGCGUAGGCUGCCCUAUAGGUCAGAGGUCAAAGGCUACGGCUCAACCGUAGUAAGCCUUUGAAACUGUAGGGCUUGAGUGCAGGAGAGGAGAGUGGAAUUCCUAGUGUAGCGGUGAAAUGCGUAGAUAUUAGGAGGAACACCAGUGGCGAAGGCGGCUUCCUGGACCAGUACCGACGUUCAGGCACGAAAGCGUGGGGAGCAAACAGG
rnacentral:rRNA from 1 species